AUGAUUGGUGCUUUCUGGAAUAUCAGAGGCCUCAAUGGCUUUGCCAAGAAUACUAGAGUGCAGGAGCUCAUAAAAGCUUGCUGCCCUGACUUUGUUUGCUUAUCUGAGACUAAAAAAGCCAACUUCACCAUACCACAACUAGAUGCCAUAGAUACUAGAAGUGGUUUUGCUUGGAAGUGGCUGCCUGCUAUUGGCACUACAGGUGGUAUACUUGUGGGUGUUAAAGAGGAUUGUUUUGAUAUUUUACAGUGUGAUAUUGGCACCUUUUGCAUUUCCUGUAUUUUGAGGUUCAAACAUAGUGAUACCAUGUGGAGAUUAAUCUCUGUGUAUGGUUCUGCUUAUGAUGAGUUAAAACUUGAUUUUCUUAAUGAACUCAGUAGUGUUCUCUCUAGCUGGUUUGGUCCCACUCUAGUGGGGGGUGACUUUAACCUAGUUAGGAACACUAGUGAGAAAAAUACUGGCAAUACAAAUUAA
rnacentral:rRNA from 1 species